rnacentral:rRNA from 1 species
AACGAACGCUGGCGGCAUGCCUAACACAUGCAAGUCGAACGAAGCCUUCGGGCUUAGUGGCGCACGGGUGCGUAACGCGUGGGAACCUACCAUCAGGUUCGGAAUAACAGUUAGAAAUGACUGCUAAUACCGGAUAAUGUCUUCGGACCAAAGAUUUAUCGCCUUUUGAUGGGCCCGCGUAAGAUUAGGUAGUUGGUGGGGUAAAGGCUUACCAAGCCGACGAUCUUUAGCUGGUCUGAGAGGAUGAUCAGCCACACUGGGACUGAGACACGGCCCAGACUCCUACGGGAGGCAGCAGUGGGGAAUAUUGGACAAUGGGCGAAAGCCUGAUCCAGCAAUGCCGCGUGAGUGAUGAAGGCCUUAGGGUUGUAAAGCUCUUUUGCCAGGGAAGAUGAUGACUGUACCUGGAGAAUAAGCCCCGGCUAACUUCGUG